rnacentral:lncRNA from 1 species
UUUAUCUCGUUAUAUCUCGUUUCAGUUUAUUUUGCUUUCCGUUUAUUUCUCUUUCAGUUUUAUCUCGUUUCAGUUUUAUCUCGUUUCAGUUUAUCUCGUUUUCAGUUUUCUUCUUUUUCAAUUUAUUUUUAUUUCAAUUUAUUUUAUUGGUCUUGAUAAGGAAAAUAGGUAAGUUCUCAAUUCCCUGUGGAUUUGAUCCUUUCACCACUAUCUGCAGUUGUAAAUUGUUGAUAACCAGAAA